rnacentral:tRNA from 1 species
GGGGAUGUGGCUCACAUAGUAGAGCGUUCGCUUUGCAUGCGCGAGGUACGGAGUUCGAUACCCCUCAUCUCCA